rnacentral:rRNA from 1 species
AUUGAACGCUGGCGGCAGGCCUAACACAUGCAAGUCGAGCGGAUGAAGGGAGCUUGCUCCUGGAUUCAGCGGCGGACGGGUGAGUAAUGCCUAGGAAUCUGCCUGGUAGUGGGGGAUAACGUCCGGAGACGGGCGCUAAUACCGCAUACGUCCUGAGGGAGAAAGUGGGGGAUCUUCGGACCUCACGCUAUCAGAUGAGCCUAGGUCGGAUUAGCUAGUUGGUGGGGUAAAGGCCUACCAAGGCGACGAUCCGUAACUGGUCUGAGAGGAUGAUCAGUCACACUGGAACUGAGACACGGUCCAGACGCCUACGGGAGGCAGCAGUGGGGAAUAUUGGACAAUGGGCGAAAGCCUGAUCCAGCCAUGCCGCGUGUGUGAAGAAGGUCUUCGGAUUGUAAAGCACUUUAAGUUGGGAGGAAGGGCAGUAAGUUAAUACCUUGCUGUUUUGACGUUACCAACAGAAUAAGCACCGGCUAACUUCGUG